GCCAGAGCUCGGGACUGGUGCUGACCUGCAGGAUGGAGGAGAGAAGAGAAGACUCAUCAACAGAACAAAUGUUGCUGGAACAUUACUUAUAAUGGCAACAAUUGGAAACAAUCAAAGGAUGUCACUAUAGGGACUUGGGUUAAGAAAAUUAUGACACAUCAAAAGCACAGUGAAGAGAACUUCUGUCAAUCCUGUCAAGCACAUGAAGAUGUGAAGUUUCAACUGGAUUCAUUUCUAUAAAUAAGUUAAGUUCUUCCUAAUUUAUAAGAAAUAACACUUGGACAACUUAAUAGUGUAUUUUCCCAGCCGAUACAAUUUCCAGAAAACCCUGAAGUCAGGAAAACCAAUGUUACUAAUGGCCUUAGGCUACGAGAAGAUCUGGUUAAGAGUAUCCUAAGGGAGGAUCUAAGCCUGUUCAUACUCUACAAGCAAAGAAACCCCAAACCCAACUCAAAAAGCCC
rnacentral:lncRNA from 1 species